AUGGACAGUACGUGUUUUAGACUCCAUCAGCUUGAAGCCAUUACAAACAACUUCUCAGAGGAUCAAAUAGUAGGCAGGGGCGGGCGUGGAGAUGUUUACAAGGCGGUGCUUAAUGGGGAAGAGAUUGCCGUGAAGCGGCUUCAUUCUAUGCAAGGACUUGAUGAUAAGGAUUUCCGCAAUGAACUCCGCAAAUUGAACAAGAUCCGACACAAAAAUAUCAUACGGUUAAUUGGCUACUGCCAUGAUACACACAAGAAAUGCAUGGAAUACGAAGGGGAACUUGUCCUAGCGAGCAUACAGGAGCGACUUCUCUGCUUCGAGUAUAUGCAGGGGGGAAGCCUCGAGAAGCAUAUUGGAGAUGAAUCUAGUGUACUUGAUUGGACCACAUGUUAUAAAAUCAUUCAAGGGACAUGUGAGGGCUUAAAUCACCUUCACAAUGGACAGGAAAAACCAAUUUUCCAUCUGGACUUAAAGCCUUCUCAUAUAUUGCUGGAUAACAACAUGACACCCAAAAUUACAUAUUUUGGUUUGGCGACAUGUGUUGCUUCAACAGAAGAAGAGUAUCAAACAGAGACGAUGAGAGGAACAUUCGGUUACAUGCCACCGGAAUACAUAGACAAAUGUAUUGUAUCAAACAAGUUUGACGUAUUCAGUUUGGGGAGCACCAUCAUAGCAGUGAUGGCAGGAAACAUGGGCUACCGCCGUUAUGUUCAAGUGUCUCCCAGUCCCACAAAGUUUAUUGAGCUCGUAAGCGAAAACUGGAAGGGAAGGAUGCACACAACAUCCGAGUAUCCAUCACAAGACAUAGACAUCCUACGAGUGCGUACAUGUAUUACGAUAGCAUUAAGAUGUGUGGAUGUGGACAGGAAAAGAAGGCCCUGUAUAGAGCAUAUUGUCCGUGAACUGGAGGAACUAGAAGCUGACAUUAAAAGAAUAACAUCACAACCUCCUGAUGAGUCCAAAGACUCAAUUCUCCAGAUGGGAUCCAAUCCAUACCACCUACAGUUACAACAUUUGAAAGACAUCACAGACAAUUUCUCUGAUGCCCGCAGACUUGGUAGUGGUGGUUUUGGUGUGGUAUAUAAGGGCGUGCUGCGAAAUGGGAAUAUGGUUGCAGUGAAGAAGCUUGUGCUGUCAACGCUGAAGUCACAGAAGCAAUUUGAGAAUGAGGGUGAUCUUCUUAUGACACUGAAUCACCCAAAUAUAGUGCGACUAUUGGGCUACUGCUAUGAAACAGAACUUAUAUAUCGGCCUUACGAAGAUAAAUUCGUUUUUGCUCAAGACACGAAACAUUUGCUUUGCUUGGAAUAUAUGCCCAAUGGAAGUCUUGACAAUUACAUAUCAGGCAUGUCUUCUGUACUUGAUUGGCACACAUGUUGCAAAAUAAUUGAGGGCAUUUCCUUUGGUCUCAUGUACCUUCACGAGGGAUCUAAUGUCCCCAUUAUUCAUUUGGAUCUAAAACCUGCGAACAUAUUGCUGGAUGAAAAUUUUGUACCAAAAAUUACUGACUUUGGUCUUUCAAGACUGUGUGAUGAAAAAACUAUGCAGACUAAAGUCGCUAGUGGAACACUUGGUUACAUGGCACCAGAAUACCUGCUACGAGGUGUAAUAACACCUAUGGCAGACAUAUUCGGUUUGGGUGUCAUAAUCAUGGAGGUAAUUACGGGGCAUAGGGAGUACCCGUACCCACAUGAUAUCAGAAGGUCUUCCAAGGACUUCAUCAAGCGAGAAGUUCAAAUAUGGAGAAAUAGGUUGGAAAAAGAUCCAGGAUAUACAUCUCUGGAAGCAGACUGCCAACAAAUAAAAACCUGCAUUCAGAUUGGUCUAAUUUGCGUAAAUUCUGAGCGGACAAAAAGGCCUACGGUGAAGAAAAUUAUUGAUAUGCUUCAAGGGUUGGAAAGUAUGGAUUGGUACAUUAUUAACGAGCUAUCAAUGCACGACAUUCAGGAUGAGCUGUAG
rnacentral:rRNA from 1 species